UCAAAGAGGCUUCUACUGUACAUCAAAGUUCCAGCUGCUUUGCUGAUAACUGUAGCAGGAAGCUGCUGCGGAUCCCCAACAAGAACACAUCGUGCUGCACCAAGAGAAAGAGGAGGAAGGACUCCUACUUCACUGGCCUGGGCUGCUUCAUCAAUGACUACCAUGUCAAAACCAUGGGUAAGACGAGAGAAUAAUUUUCUCCCACUACUUGAGACAGUAGUGAAGACAAUUUCAGCUUCAUUGG
rnacentral:misc_RNA from 1 species